rnacentral:rRNA from 1 species
UACGGAGGGUGCAAGCGUUAAUCGGAAUUACUGGGCGUAAAGCGCACGCAGGCGGUCUGUUAAGUCAGAUGUGAAAUCCCCGGGCUUAACCUGGGAACUGGCAUUUGAAAACUGGCAGGCUUGAGUCUUGUAGAGGGGGGUAGAAUUCCAGGUGUAGCGGUGAAAAUGCGUAGAGAUCUGGAGGAAUACCGGUGGCGAAGGCGGCCCCCUGGACAAAGACUGACGCUCAGGUGCGAAAGCGUGGGGAGCAAACAGG